GAUGAAGAACGUAGCGAAAUGCGAUACGUAAUGUGAAUUGUAGAAUUCAGUGAAUCAUCGAAUCUUUGAACGCAUAUUGCGCUCUCUGGUAUUCCGGAGAGCAUGCUUGUUUGAGUAUCAGUAAACACCUCAACUCCCUUUCUUCUUGAAAUGGAGCUGGACUUGAGUGAUCCCAACGCUUUAUUCAUAAAGUGGCGGGUUACUUGAAAUGCAGGUGCAGCUGGACUUUUCUCUGAGCUAUAAGCAUAUCUAUUUAGUCUGCCUCAAAACAGAUUAUUACCUUUGCUGCAGCUAACAUAAAGGAGAUUAGUUCUUGUGCUGACUGAUGCAGGAUUCACAAAGACCGCUUCGGCUGUCUUUGUAAACUCGAUCUCAAAUCAAGUAAGACUACCCGCUGAACUUAAGCAUAUCAAUAAGCGGAGGA
rnacentral:misc_RNA from 1 species